rfam:Ricinus communis cultivar Hale ctg_1100012355837, whole genome shotgun sequence.
AGUCCGUGGUGCGGGCAAUAUCAGAGCAAGUCCUUGUACAGCUCCCAGGCAUCAUACAUGCUCUCGUCAUCGAACUGCAUAAAAGAAGAUAUAUUAUCUCUUAAUCU